GUGGUAAUGCCGGAUGCUCCAUCACACCGCAUGGUGUGUUGGGAAAGCCUUUGCGGCAUGGGAUGGGGUCGCGUCCUAUCAGCUUGAUGGCGGGGUAACGGCCCACCAUGGCUUCGACGGGUAGCCGGCCUGAGAGGGCGACCGGCCACAUUGGGACUGAGAUACGGCCCAGACUCCUACGGGAGGCAGCAGUGGGGAAUAUUGCACAAUGGGCGCAAGCCUGAUGCAGCGACGCCGCGUGAGGGAUGGAGGCCUUCGGGUUGUAAACCUCUUUUGUUAGGGAGCAAGGCAUUUUGUGUUGAGUGUACCUUUCGAAUAAGCACCGGCUAACUACGUGCCAGCAGCCGCGGUAAUACGUAGGGUGCAAGCGUUAUCCGGAAUUAUUGGGCGUAAAGGGCUCGUAGGCGGUUCGUCGCGUCCGGUGUGAAAGUCCAUCGCUUAACGGUGGAUCCGCGCCGGGUACGGGCGGGCUUGAGUGCGGUAGGGGAGACUGGAAUUCCCGGUGUAACGGUGGAAUGUGUAGAUAUCGGAAAGAA
rnacentral:rRNA from 1 species